AAUUCGCCCUUAGAGUUUGAUCCUGGCUCAGGACGAACGCUGGCGGCGUGCCUAACACAUGCAAGUCGAGCGAGUGGAGUUUUUCGGAACAAAGCUAGCGGCGGACGGGUGAGUAACACGUGGGCAACCUGCCUCAUAGAGGGGAAUAGCCUCCCGAAAGGGAGAUUAAUACCGCAUAAGAUUGUAGCUUCGCAUGAAGUAGCAAUUAAAGGAGCAAUCCGCUAUGAGAUGGGCCCGCGGCGCAUUAGCUAGUUGGUGAGGUAACGGCUCACCAAGGCGACGAUGCGUAGCCGACCUGAGAGGGUGAUCGGCCACAUUGGGACUGAGACACGGCCAGACUCCUACGGGAGGCAGCAGUGGGGAAUAUUGCACAAUGGGGGAAACCCUGAUGCAGCAACGCCGCGUGAGUGAUGACGGCCUUCGGGUUGUAAAGCUCUGUCUUCAGGGACGAUAAUGACGGUACCUGAGGAGGAAGCCACGGCUAACUACGUGCCAGCAGCCGCGGUAAUACGUAGGUGGCGAGCGUUGUCCGGAUUUACUGGGCGUAAAGGGAGCGUAGGCGGACUUUUAAGUGAGAUGUGAAAUACCCGGGCUCAACUUGGGUGCUGCAUUUCAAACUGAAAGUCUAGAGUGCAGGAGAGGAGAAUGGAAUUCCUAGUGUAGCGGUGAAAUGCGUAGAGAUUAGGAAGAACACCAGUGGCGAAGGCGAUUCUCUGGACUGUAACUGACGCUGAGGCUCGAAAGCGUGGGGAGCAAACAGGAUUAGAUACCCUGGUAGUCCACGCCGUAAACGAUGAGUGCUAGGUGUUAGGCCCUUUCCGGGGCUUAGUGCCGCAGCUAACGCAUUAAGCACUCCGCCUGGGGAGUACGACCGCAAGGUUGAAACUCAAAGGAAUUGACGGGGGCCCGCACAAGCGGUGGAGCAUGUGGUUUAAUUCGAAGCAACGCGAAGAACCUUACCAGGUCUUGACAUCCCAGUGACCGCUCUAGAGAUAGAGUUUUUCUUCGGAACACUGGUGACAGGUGGUGCAUGGUUGUCGUCAGCUCGUGUCGUGAGAUGUUGGGUUAAGUCCCGCAACGAGCGCAACCCUUAUUGUUAGUUGCCAUCAUUCAGUUGGGCACUCUAGCGAGACUGCCGGUAAUAAACCGGAGGAAGGUGGGGAUGACGUCAAAUCAUCAUGCCCCUUAUGACCUGGGCUACACACGUGCUACAAUGGUUGGUACAACGAGUCGCAAGUCGGUGACGGCAAGCAAAUCUCUUAAAGCCAAUCUCAGUUCGGAUUGUAGGCUGCAACUCGCCUACAUGAAGUCGGAAUCGCUAGUAAUCGCGGAUCAGCACGCCGCGGUGAAUACGUUCCCGGGCCUUGCACACACCGCCCGUCA
rnacentral:rRNA from 1 species